rnacentral:rRNA from 1 species
AGAGCGAAUGCUGGCGGCAGGCCUAACACAUGCAAGUCGAGCGCCCGUAGCAAUACGGGAGCGGCAGACGGGAUAGUAACACGUGGGAACGCGCCCUUCGGUUCGGAAUAACUCAGGGAAACUUGAGCUAAUACCGAAUACGCCCUUACGGGGAAAGAUUUAUUGCCGAAGGAACGGCCCGCGUCCGAUUAGCUAGUUGGUGAGGUAAUGGCUCACCAAGGCUACGAUCGGUAGCUGGUCUGAGAGGAUGACCAGCAUCACUGGGACUGAGACACGGCCCAGACUCCUACGGGAGGCAGCAGUGGGGAAUAUUGGACAAUGGGCGCAAGCCUGAUCCAGCCAUGCCGCGUGGAUGAUGAAGGCCUUAGGGUUGUAAAGUCCUUUUAACGGGGAAGAUAAUGACGGUACCCGUAGAAUAAGCCCCGGCUAACUUCGUGCCAGCAGCCGC